rnacentral:rRNA from 1 species
GGACGAACGCUGGCGGCGUGCCUAAUACAUGCAAGUAGAACGCACAGUUUAUACCGUAGCUUGCUACACCAUAAACUGUGAGUUGCGAACGGGUGAGUAACGCGUAGGUAACCUGCCUGGUAGCGGGGGAUAACUAUUGGAAACGAUAGCUAAUACCGCAUAAUAUUGAUUAUUGCAUGAUAAUUGAUUGAAAGAUGCUAUUGCAUCACUACCAGAUGGACCUGCGUUGUAUUAGCUAGUAGGUGAGGUAACGGCUCACCUAGGCGACGAUACAUAGCCGACCUGAGAGGGUGAUCGGCCACACUGGGACUGAGACACGGCCCAGACUCCUACGGGAGGCAGCAGUAGGGAAUCUUCGGCAAUGGACGAAAGUCUGACCGAGCAACGCCGCGUGAGUGAAGAAGGUUUUCGGAUCGUAAAGCUCUGUUGUAAGAGAAGAACGGGUGUGAGAGUGGAAAGUUCACACUGUGACGGUAUCUUACCAGAAAGGGACGGCUAACUACGUG